AUGAAUCUUACUCAUCAAUCUAUAGACUAAUCAUGGGGCCAGAAGUAACUAAAGGAAAGCAGGAAUGGACAGCCUUCAAAGGAGUUAAUAACUUGGCAGUAUAGCAGGAUGGUCAUGAGCCUGGCUCCACCACUGAGGAUUAACUGAGUAGUCUUCUUUAGGGGGGAGGGAGAAGAUGGCGGAAGAGUAAGACGCGGAGAUCACCUUCCUUCCCACAGAUACAGUAGAAAUACAUCUACACGUGGAACUGCUCCUACAGAACACCCACUGAACGCUGGCAGAAAACGUCCGACCUCCAAAAAGGCAAGAAACUCCCCCCGUACUUGGGUAGGGCAAAAGAAAAAAGAAAUAACAGAGACAAAAGAAUAGGGACGGCACCUGCACCAGUGGGAGGGAGCUGUGAAGGAGGAAAGGUUUCCACGCACUAGGAAGCCCCUUCGCGGGCGGAGACUGCGGGUGGCAGGGGGGGAAGCUUUGGAGCCACGGAGGAGAGCGCAGCCACAGGGGUGCGGAGGGCAAAGCGGAGAGGUCCCCGCACAGAGGCUCGGCGCCGAGCAGCACUCACCAGCCCGAGAGGCUUGUCUGCUCCCCCGCUGGGGCGGGCAGGGCUGGGAGCUGAGGCUUGGGCUUCGGUUGGAUCGCAGGGAGAGGACUGGGGCUGGCGGCGUGAACACAGCCUGAAGGGGUUAGCGCACCACAGCUAGCCGGGAGGGAGUCCGGGGAAAAAGUCUGCAGCUGCCGAAGAGGCAAGAGACUUUUUCUUCCCUCUGUGUUUCCUGGUGCGCAAGGAGAGGGGAUUCAGAGCGCCGCCUAAACGAACUCCAGAGACUGGCGCGAGCCGCAGCUAUCAGCGCGGACCCCACAGCAACAGGGGCGCAGAGGAAAAACGGAGAGAUUCCCGCACGGAGGCUCGGCGCCGAGCAGCACUCAGCAGCCCGAGAGGCUUGUCUGCUCCCCCGCCGGGGCGGGCGGGGCUGGGAGCUGAGGCUCGGCUUCGGUCGGAUCGCAGGGAGAGGACAGAGGCUGGCAGCGUGAACACAGCCUGAAGGGGUUGGCGCACCACAGCUAGCCGGGAGGGAGACCGGGAAAAGGUCUGCAGCCGUCGAAGAGGCAAGAGACUUUUUCUUGCCUCUUAGUUUCGCUGCGCGCAAGGAGAGGGGAUUCAGAGCGCCGCCUAAACGAACUCCAGAGAAGGGCGCAAGCCGCGGCGAUCAGCGCGGACCCCAGAGACGGGCGUGAGACGCUGGGGCUGCUGCUGCCGCCUCCAAAAAGCCUGUGUGUGAGCACAGGUCACUCUCCACACCGCCCCUCCCGGUAGCCUGUGCAGCCCGCCACUGCCAGGGUCCCGGGAUCCGGGGACAACAUUCCCGGGAGAACGCACUGCGCGCCUCAGGCUGGUGCAACGUCACGCCGGCCUCUGACGCUGCAGGCUCGCCCUGCCUCCUCUGUACCCCUCCCUCCCCGCGGCCUGGGUGAGCCAGAGCCCCCGAAGCAGCUGCUCCUUUAACCCCGUCCUGUCUGGGCGGGGAACAGACGCCCUCAGGCGACCUACACGCAGAGGAGGGUCCAAAUCCAAAGCUGAACCCCAGGAGCUGUGUGAACAGGGAAGAGAAGGGGAAAUCUCUCCCAGCAGCCUCAGAAGCAGCGGAUUAAAACUCCACAAACAACGUGAUGUACCUGCAUCUGUUGAAUACCUGAAUAGACAACGAAUCAUCCCAAAUUCAGGAGGUGGACUCUGGGAGCAGGAGAUAUUAAUUUUUGCCCUUUUCCUUUUUUUUGUGAGUGUAUAUGUAUAUGCUUCUGGGUGAGAUUUUGUCUGUAUAGCUUUGCUUUACAAUAGCUUUAUUUUACUUCACUA